GAUAACUUGACCUCAAAUCAGGAAGAACUACCCGCUAAACUAAACCAUUCAAAA
rnacentral:rRNA from 1 species